CGCGGCCUAUCAGCUUGUUGGUGGGGUAAUGGCCUACCAAGGCGACGACGGGUAGCCGGCCUGAGAGGGCGACCGGCCACACUGGGACUGAGACACGGCCCAGACUCCUACGGGAGGCAGCAGUGGGGAAUAUUGCACAAUGGGCGAAAGCCUGAUGCAGCGACGCCGCGUGAGGGAUGACGGCCUUCGGGUUGUAAACCUCUUUCAGCAGGGAAGAGGCGAAAGUGACGGUACCUGCAGAAGAAGCGCCGGCUAACUACGUGCCAGCAGCCGCGGUAAUACGUAGGGCGCAAGCGUUGUCCGGAAUUAUUGGGCGUAAAGAGCUCGUAGGCGGCUUGUCACGUCGGAUGUGAAAGCCCGAGGCUUAACCUCGGGUCUGCAUUCGAUACGGGCUAGCUAGAGUGUGGUAGGGGAGAUCGGAAUUCCUGGUGUAGCGGUGAAAUGCGCAGAUAUCAGGAGGAACACCGGUGGCGAAGGCGGAUCUCUGGGCCAUUACUGACGCUGAGGAGCGAAAGCGUGGGGAGCGAACAGGAUUAGAUACCCUGGUAGUCCACGCCGUAAACGUUGGGAACUAGGUGUUGGCGACAUUCCACGUCGUCGGUGCCGCAGCUAACGCAUUAAGUUCCCCGCCUGGGGAGUACGG
rnacentral:rRNA from 1 species